CAGUCGCCGCGGUAAAACGUAGGGUGCAAGCGUUAAUCGGAAUUACUGGGCGUAAAGCGUGCGCAGGCGGUUUGUUAAGACAGAUGUGAGAUCCCCGGGCUCAACCUGGGAACUGCAUUUGUGACUGGCAAGCUAGAGUCUGGCAGAGGGGGGUGGAAUUCCGCGUGUAGCAGUGAAAUGCGUAGAUAUGCGGAGGAACACCGAUGGCGAAGGCAGCCCCCUGGGCCAACACUGACGCUCAUGCACGAAAGCGUGGGGAGCAAACAGGAUUAGAUACCCCGGUAGUCCCUGUCUCUUAUAC
rnacentral:rRNA from 1 species